GUAGUAUGGGGGAAACUUGCAGUGAAACAUCCUUUUAUUUUCCCUCUCUUUUUUUAAAAGGACAUCCUCCCCCUUCUUUGCUUUAAUCACUUUAAAAACAACCCUAGAGGAGCAAGACUUGGGUAAAUAAAUGUGGGAACCAGGGGAGUUCUUGAACUGUUAAAGAAAUCAAUAUAAAUCAGAGUAACCUUGCCCUGAUGUCUUCCUUAUCACCUCUGAAGCUCUACCUGCCUUUGUCUAACAACAAUCUCAGUUAAUUAGAUAAUUAAUCUAAUUAUCUAAUUAGGUGGAAUCACUAAUAGCUAUUCCACCUAAUUAGGCCAGUGGCUGUAUCUCAGCAGUGGUGGUUCUCUCUUUCUGGCUAACCCACCACCUUCUGCCAUGCCUUGAAACCAGACUCUGACACAGUUCACAGCUCUUUGUUUGCUUUAACCAAAACCACCUGGAAGCAGUUUUACAUUUUUUACUCAGGCUUUCCUCGAAUGAAAGCAAGGUGGCCAGUUGAAAAGUAGAAAAGGAAGCUCUCAGAAGAUUAAUUUUUUUAGCAAUGAAUGCAGGAAGCUCUUCAUUGUUUUAAUUCAUUCUCCUGGUGUAAGAUUAAUUUUAGCUCUGAACACAACAACCUGUUAUGAAUUGAUCCUAGGGAAGUAUAUUGCUCUGAGGCUGGGGAAACAACAUAAGUAGCUUUUUCCCCCCUUUAUUUGGACAAGUUUAGCUAACUCAUGGCUGCAGUCCUAACUAGAGUCUCUUCCCUGCGGAAAUGUGGAUUGUGCUCCCGCUGCAGCUUUCCCAAUCCGUCCUCUGUGUGACAGCCACGAGAGAGCUGGCAAGAAUUAAAACCAGCCUGAGGCCAUUGGUCCCCUGGCAGCAGAGUCCCACUGCUCCUCUCUGCAGGGAUGCUGUGGUUGGCAGCACCACCAUGCUUGGUUUGGAUCACCUCUGUCCCUUCAUGAGCUGUAAGUGCCUUCAGGGCUGCAAAGCUGCCAUAAGGCACUCAUGGGGUAUUUUCCCUUUAAUGCCUAAAUUGGAUUUAAGGGUGUUUUGAUGCAUUCCAAAACAAAUCAAAGUCUGUCUGCAAGACAGCCAGACUUGGCCCUGAGAAAGCGAUGGAUGUGCUCACCCCUCACACCCAGAGCUCUGCUUCCCUGGCAUCCCACCUCAUGCACCAGGAAAAGCCACUCAGCAUCUGAGGGUCAGGAAUUGAGACUCUUCCAGCCCCAGGAGUGCUAAAUGGUUCACUCCAUCCCUACCUGUCACUGGAGAGCACUGCUGGAUCCCCUCUGACACCUACAGCCCUAGUGGGUACAAUUGGAGCACCACUCUGGUUGGGCUCAGAGUCACCGAGGCCAUGGGAACCCUGGCUGGAGUCUGGAUGAGGUAAAAGGGCCAGCAACACCUUCCAGAAGUAGCUUCAGAAGCAGAAGGCCAGCUCUGCAGCAAGUGUGAAAUCUGUGAGUUGAGCACAGAGCUGCAGCCAUUCAUGCUUUUUUUCUGACAUCUGUUAAGAGAAUGGAAGGAAGGGAAAUCAGCUGUACUCUAGGAGAAAAGAG